UAGUACUUGUACAACUACGAGUAGUACUUGUACUACUACGAGUAGUACUUGUACUACUACGAGUAGUACUUGUACUACUACGAGUAGUACUAG
rnacentral:tRNA from 1 species